rfam:Oryza glaberrima chromosome 2 Oglab02_0303_6, whole genome shotgun sequence.
AAAAAGAUAAACUCUGGUUUCCGUGUCUAACAUUUGACCGUCCGUUUUAUUUGAAAAAAUAAAAAAAAUUAAAAAGAUAAGUCACGCAUAAAGUAUCAAUCAUGUUUUAUUAUCUAACAAUAAUGAAAAUAAUAAUUAUAAAAAAUUUUUAUAUAAGACGAACAGUCAAACGUUGGCACGGGAAUCCACAGUUUGUCUUUUU